UACGUAGGGACCGAGCGUUGUCCGGAAUCAUUGGGCGUAAAGAGCGUGUAGGCGGCCAAUUAAGUCCUGCGUGAAAUCUCGGGGCUCAACCCCGAGCGGUCGUGGGAAACUGGUUGGCUAGAGUGCGGGAGAGGAGAGUGGAAUUCCUGGUGUAGCGGUGAAAUGCGCAGAUAUCAGGAAGAACACCCGUGGCGAAGGCGGCUCUCUGGAACGCAACUGACGCUGAGGCGCGAAGGCUGGGGUAGCGAACAGG
rnacentral:rRNA from 1 species